rnacentral:lncRNA from 1 species
CUCAUCAUACACAAGUUUAGAGGAACAAAAACAUUUUUAAACAUAGAUCAUGCUUACAAGAGGGGUUAUCAUGCAAACUCGGUCAAGCACCACUUCUAAACCUCAAUCUCAUAAUCGAUAUUUACAUAACGUAACUGUUCAUAACUUUACAUCAUUUUACAAUUUAUCAUGUCCACAUUCUAUCUAUUACAACUCAAGACUUCAUUCACCUUGACUUCUCUGUCUAGCCUGAACCUGCAACCCUGGGGGGAUUAGGGAAAAGGGGUGAGCUACUAGAGCCCAGUGAGCAGAAUAAUAAAACAUUUAAAAUACAUGCUAUAAUGGAAUGCAUCACAUCACAGGUAAAUCACAUCACGGAUGGUAUUGUCACCAAGAGUCCUCUACAUUCCAAAGUGCCGGGACGUAGAAUGGGUCAACCGGUCUUUUUCUUAACAUAACAUAACAUAACAUUCCAAUGUGCCAGGGACGUAGAAUGGGUACAACCUGGACUUUCUCUUGCAUAGUUCCAGGGACGUAGAAUGGGUACAACCUGGACUUCCGUACCAUACCGUAUCAUAUCACAUCGUAUCAUAUCGAGGACUAAGGAUCAUCCAAUAACCAUCCACAUCAUCAUCAAAUUACGCAAUGCAACAUAUUCGUGAAUUCUAAUGCAAACAACCUAAAUCAUCACAUGGCAUUCAUGAUGCAUGAACAUGCUCAAAACUUUAUAAUUGAUUUGCUUUAAAACGUAAAGGUUUAUUCUACUCACCUCAACUAGCUCUGACAAUGACUGAAGCAGCUGACUCACUGCUGGGGUCCUCGGUUCCUCGGGUCCGAACCUACACAGGUGGACUCAAAUGAGGGACCAAACAACUAGGACAUAACUCUAAAAACAUCCCCCAAAAACCCCCUAAAACACCUCAAAACAAUCAUGCAAAACAUGCAAAGGAAGGCUGAAUAGGGCACUUUCGGCGGCCGAAAGUCCCUCCAGAGCCGAAAGUCAGGCAGGUUCGGCGGCACCUUCGGCGGCCGAAACUCCCAGACAGAGAUGAAACUCAUGCAUGUUCGGCGGCACUUUUGGCGGCCAAAACUACCCUCCAGAGACGAAAGUCCUCUUUCGGGGGCAGGCUUCGGCAGCCGAAAGGCUUGCCUCCCAGGCAGGUUCGGCGGCCGAAAGUCCUUCGGCUGCCGAACCUGGUUUCUGCCAAAGGGCAAAAACUUGGUUCCUCAUGCACAUUUGCCUUCCAACCUUUUAGAUCAAGCAUAUAACUCACUCAAAACUUACAUAGAUACAUACAUCAGCUCCUAGGGGUUUCAAACUAUCCUAAACCCCAUCUACAACACAUCAAACAACCACAAGCAUCAUACAUUGCUCAAAAACUCAACAUAACCCUUAAACCAACCAAAAACCUAAACAUGCAUUUCUACUCCAAAGAUCAAUGACUCGCGGUUGUCGAAGCUGGUCAAAAAUAACCUUUCUGGUUAUCAACAAUUUUACAACUGCAAAUAGUGGUGAAAGGAUCGAAUCCACAGAAAAUUGAUUACCUAUUUAUUUUUCUCAACAAGACCAAUAAAAUGAACUGAAACAAUAAUAAAUUAAAGAUGAGAUAAAAGACUGAAAGUGGGAUCAAAUGAGAUAAACUGGAAGCAGAAUAAAAAUAAAUUGCAAUAAAAGUAAAAUGGGGGUUUGAGAUUGAUUGUAGUAACUAAUAAUGAGAGUAAUAAUAGAAAGCAAAUAAUUAAAAUAAAAGAGUAAAUCAAUAUGAGAAAAGCCCAGUUGAAGAUAUGGAUCCACUUUGGUUGUUUGGGUUGAUCAUUGAAACUUAAAUUAUCUUGAUUGGUUCAAUAGAUUAGUUAUGGGGGUGGAAGAUGCUUCUCACCACCAUGUCUCUCCUUAUUAUUAAAUUAAUUAUGAAACGUCUUCUAAUCAAUUACUAAUUAACAAAUUGCCAAGGAACGUCCUUGGGCCAUAGGCAUCAAAACAAUUGUCAAUUGCAUAAAGAAAUAGAGAGAUCCAAUCCUAGCUACCCAAACAUAUGGAGAUAACGCUAGAUCAUGCAAUUCCUUGAUUUUUACACCAAGUGUUCUAAAGUCAGAAUAUUUCCAGCAAUUACGGACUAAAAAUAAUCCCAACUAACAAUCAGUUAACUUUGCAAUUAAAAUCAAGUGGCCAAUUUGAUCAAAACAACAAAGUAAUCAUAUAAUUAAAGCAUCAAUUGCAUAAAUAUUGAACAAAACCAAAGAUAAUAAUUUAUGUUCAGAUCUCACAGCCCAUUAAACAACCUUAGUUUCAACCAAUCCUCAACUAGAAUUAAAAAAUUAGGCUAAUUUAAAAACAGAAAAUUAAAAGGAAAAGAAAAGAACCGAAAUUGAAAUCUUGAAUUCUGUCUCCCUGCGGAAUUUGCCGAUUUGAGGAAUUCUGGAAUUGUGAAUUUGUCCGUCCACUGAAGAGCUCUUUAAAUAGAGCUGGAGAGAUGCCCUAAACGCUGUCCACGCGUGCACAUGCCCAUGUGCGAGAGUUGUGCGUGUUUGGUGUGCGCGCUGGUCCAUGGUGCGGUGAUGAAGCGCGGGUCCGUGUGCGUGAGUGGGCUGUGACGUGCGUGAAUUGAGCUUGGUCAUGUGCAAGACGGAGUGGGCCCAAAUGCGGGAGAAUUAGAGAAGGCGCGGUCCACGGGCUGUCCGUGUGCAUGGCCUUGAUUGCGCGGUCCACGCGUAAGAAUGGGCGUCCACAAGCGGAAAUGGGCUUCGUGAGUGAUGAUGAGGCGGGGCCCAUGUGCGUGCUUUGGGGUGGUCCACGGUGCGCUGAGGAUGGACGUGAGUGUUGCUCUGGCGGGGCCCAUGUGCAGGUGAAGGUUGAAGACUUGUGCUUGGUCCAUUCGCUGGAGAUGAACGUGCGGGAAUUGCGAGUGGCGGUGCGAGCUUGAUCACGUGAGGAGAGUUUGUUUCAUUUGCUGGAAUUGAUUGCAGCGCGGGCCAUGAGUGCAAGGUGGUGCGGGAAUGGGCUGAUCCAUAAGUGGGCCCAGAAACUUGAAUAUUUAAGCUUCAAAAUCCUUUCCUCAUUCUUUGCUCCAAUAAGGCAGUUUUAGGGAAAUUUUCUCCAAAUUGUCCUUUUACACUAUUUUCUGUAAAAUAAUAUUAAAAACACUAAAUUAGACAGAAAUCAUGUAAAUAUUUAUUAAUAAUAUUAAUAUAAAAUGGACUAAAUUAUGCUCUAUCAAAUCCCCCCACACUUAGCCUUUUGCUUGUCCUCAAGCAAAUAAGCAUAGUUAAACAAGCUUUCUCACUCUAGAUCCUUAUUUCCACUUAAACUCUUACUCUAGACCUCUAUUUUGAAUCAUUGCAGUGAAGAAUAUAUGCAUGAAGAUUACUCACCUUCUUUCCUUAUUUCCCUUUACUUACUAUGACUAGGAUUUGUUUUCCUCAAGAGAGACCAUACAUGCACAUUUUUGUUAAGACUUUUUCUAGCUUUUGGAUUGACUUGCCCUUACCUUGAAGUACUUUAUUCAGGCUUUUGCACUUUAGAUCUCGCUUGGAAAGGUCACCAACCUAUUUUUGAUUUGAAGGUUUAUAUUUUUCAGUUGGUCACCUAUCCAAGUGGCUACUUGCCUUGUUCAUAGUCUUUUGACCAUUGGAACAAUUUUCAAUUUGUGCUUUUGAGGUCUUUGCCUUUGCUGAAUUUUCUUUCUCUCAAUAAUUUGGGCAAAUCAACACCAAUUGCUAAAUUAAGUCACAUUAAGUUCAUUCACACAACUUUAAUUUAUUCUCAAUCAAUUGAGGGUCAUCAAUAUAUUUUUCACCAUGGCAAACUCAAAGAUUCAAUUCAAAAGGCAAUUCUCAAACAUGAAUAUAACCCACUGCAAGUGAUUCAAUAUAAGUUUAAAGAGUUUUCACAUCAAUGGGGUCAUGGAAAGAAAGACUCAUUCAACAUAGUUCAUCAGUUUUGAGUAGAGCAAAACAAAAAGAAGAAGAUGGUUGUGGUUGUGUGUGUAUUAUUGAAAGCAAAAAUAUACUAAAAGAAAACUGAAAGCAUAAAUCGCAUAACUGAAAAAUAUAUUUUUUUUUUUUUUGAAAAAUCUGAAAGGAGAAAUUGCAAAAGAGGGAAGAAGAAGAUAGAAAGAAAGAGAAAGAGAAGAGGAAGAAGAGAUAUGCACCCCCACACUUAAAUCAUGCAUUGUCCUCAAUGUAAAGAAGAGAGAAAAAGAGAACAAAGGAAACUGAGUACUCCCCUGGGGUGUGGUGUGCAUGGCAUGAUCUUCUUAGGCAGAGUGAGUGACGAACAGAUGUUCGUCUGGGAAUGCUUCCUCAACUAGGCAAGGCGUAGAACUGGAUGGAAGCCGACUGAGGUGAUCAGCCACAAGAUUUUCCUUGCCUUUUUUGUCUCUUAUCUCCAGAUCAAAUUCUUGUAGGAGAAGAAUCCACCUAAUUAGUCUUGGCUUGGCUUCCUUUUUCUUGAUCAGAUAUCGCAGAGCCGCAUGGUCAGAAUAGACAAUGACUUUGGUACCCAAGAGGUAGGGUCUGAAUUUUUCCAAAGCAAACACAACUGCCAAGAGUUCUUUUUCAGUUGUUGUAUAAUUGCUUUGUGCAGCAUCCAGGGUGCGAGAGGCAUAGUGAAUGACGUGGGGUGAGUUUCCCACACGUUGCCCUAAGACUGCUCCCACUGCAUAAUUGCUUGCAUCACACAUGAUUUCAAAAGGCAAGUUCCAGUCAGGUCCUUGAAUAAUUGGGGCAGUCACAAGCAAUUCUUUAAUCAAGUCAAAUGCCUUUUUGCAGUCUGCAUCAAAAUCAAAGGUUACAUCCUGUUGGAGCAAUCUGCAUAAUGGCAAAGUGAUUUUUGAGAAAUCUUUGAUGAAUCUUCUAUAGAAUCCUGCAUGGCCAAGGAAUGAUCGGAUGUCUUUAACAGUUGUGGGAUAAGGCAGAUUUUUUAUGGUAUCCACUUUUGCUUUGUUCACUUCAAUGCCUUUAGCUGAAACAACAUGACCUAAGACCAUACCUUGAUUAACCAUAAAAUGGCAUUUUUCAUAAUUAAGCACAAGGUUAGUCUCAAUGCAUCUUUGCAAGAUCUUUUCUAAAUUGGUAAGGCAUUCAUCAAAAGAAUUUCCAUGAACUGUGAAGUCAUCCAUAAAUACCUCAAUUGUCUUACCCACAUAGUCAGAAAAUAUGCUCAUCAUGCACCGUUGAAAAGUGGCAGGUGCAUUGCAUAGUCCAAAUGGCAUUCUUCUAAAGGCAAAAGUGCCAAAGGGACAAGUGAAGGUGGUUUUCUCUUGGUCCACUGGGGCAACUGGAAUUUGAUAGAAACCUGAAUAACCAUCAAGACAACAAUAGUGAGUUUUACCUGCAAGCCUUUCUAGCAUCUGAUCAAUGAAAGGCAAUGGGAAGUGGUCCUUCCUUGUUGCAGCAUUGAGCUUCCUAUAGUCCAUGCAUACUCUCCAUCCAUUUUGAACUCUAGUGGGAACAAGUUCUCCUUCAGCAUUUGGAACAAAGGUGAUCCCAGUUUUCUUUAGGACUACAUGCACAGGACUCACCCAUUUGCUAUCAGAGAUAGGGUAGAUAAUACCUGCAUCAAGGAGCUUGACUAUUUCUUUCUUCACCACUUCCAUCAUAGGUGGAUUCAGUCUUCUUUGAGCAUCUCUGACUGGCUUGCAUUCAUCCUCCAUAUGAAUUCUAUGCAUGCAUGUGGAAGGUGAAAUACCUUUUAUGUCAUCUAUGGUCCAUCCUAUGGCUCCUUUGUGUUUCUGCAGUACUUUUAGGAGGCUUGUUUCUUCAUGUUGGUUUAAUUCAUUGGACACUAUUACUGGUAAUGUCUUGUCAGUCCCCAAGUACAUGUAUUUCAGAUGGCCUGGAAGGGGCUUCAGAUCUGAAGAGUGUUGCAAGGGUGUCUGCGCAGAGGUGGUUUCAGAAAUCUCCUUUUGCGCAAAGCUCGACUGCAGAGGAGAUGGCGCAGAACUGGAUCCAAAAGUUUCCUUUUGCGCAGGAAGGGUCUGCACACCAUUCUGAAGUGGUGCAACUGAGUUUUCUCCAAUCUGUGCUUGACUGCAAACUAUCUGUUGGAUGCUACAGACUGUUUCCUUAAGUUUCGGCUCUUUCUGGCUCUCAAUCUGUACCUGAUCAAUAUCUCUGCAGAAAUCACUGUUAAGAAUAUCAUCUUGAUUUUUGUCAAAAAUUUCCUGGCUCAAGCAGUCAACAAUAUCAAGACCAUAAACAGGGGACAUAUCAUGUGGAUAUUUCAUAGAAUCAUAGACAUUAUAUUUAAUGACUUCCCCUUCAAAUUCCAUAGUGAGAGUACCAUUAUGCACAUCAAUCGUAGUUCUAGCAGUACUUAAGAAAGGACGUCCAAGAAGGAUAUCAGAACUAGUAUUAUAACUAUCUUCCUUAGUAUCAAUCACAUAAAAAUCAGCAGGAAAGACAAGCUCAUUUACUUGGACUAACACAUCUUCUAGAACACCUAUGGGAUAUACCACAGAUCUAUCAGUUAGUUGAAUCACAACUCUUGUUUCUUUGAGUGCACAUGCAUUGAGAGAUUUAUAGAUGGAGAGAGGCAUGACAUUUAUGGAUGCACCAAGAUCACACAUGGCUUUCCUUAUACCAACAUUCCCAAUUUUACAAGAGAUAGCGAACAUACCUUUGUCCUUGCAUUUGGUAGGGAGUUCUCUUUUAAUAACAGCAGUCACAACCUCACCUACACUUACUUUUUCUCUCUCUGCAAGCUUUCUCCUAUUAGUGCAAAGUUCUUUCAGAAAUUUAGCGUACCUGGGAAUCUGCUUAACAGCAUCUAGCAGAGGUAUAUUGAUUUGUACUUUUCUGAAAGUGUCAAGGAUCUCCUUUUCUUCCUUUUCUUUUUGUGUUCUUUCAAAUCUCUUGGGAAAAGGAGGUGGAAUGUGAAAGCUUACCUUUGGGUCAGUCUUUUGUGUAGGAGGAGCUGCGGAUUGCGAUGGAGAGGCUUCAGGUGGCUUUGGUUCUUUUUCUUGCUCAUGAUUAGUGUCUCGAAACUCUUUGCCACUUCUCAAAGUAAUAGCACUAACAUUCUGUCUGGGGUUGGUUUCAGUUUGAGAAGGGAGCUUACCUUGGGAUUGCAGUUGGCCUAUAGAGGUGGCCAUUUGGCUUAGGUCUUGUCGCACGCCUUGCAUAGAUGUGGUCAUUUGGCCUAGGUCUUGUCGCACGCCUUGCAUGGUGCUCACCAUUGUUUCCAUCAUUGUUUGCAUGAUCUUCUCAAGGUUCUGAUUUGGAGUUGAAGGUACUGGUUGGGCUUGAUUUCUUUGGUAACUUUGGUAGUUCUGAUCACUGUUGCUCUUUCCAUAGCUAAAAUUGGGGUGAUCUUUCCAACCUGGAUUGUAUGUAGUGGAGUAUGGAUCAUAUCUAGGCUGGUUGUUGUACCUCCCAAUGGCGUUGGCCUGCUGAUGGUCUUCUUGGAGUGUGGGACAUUGAUCAGUUGGGUGUCCCACACAUAAACAAAUCCCACAUGGCCUAGGUGGCUGGGGUGCUUGAAUCUGUUGUACCACAUCUACCACAGCAUUUUUUAUAACAGAUAUUAGUUCAGACAUAGAAGGAAAAUUUACCUCAUUGGCCCUUUGUAGUUGCCUCUCUUCUCCAUACUGCCUAGAUGAGGCUGCAAGAGUGGAGAUUAAUUCUCUCAUUUGUCUAGGUGUUUUGUCUUCAAUGGAGCCUCCACAGGUUACAUAAAUGAAUUUUCUUUCUGAGGAAGAUAAUCCUCCAUAGAAGAAUUGUAUAAGGGCCUUGUCUUACAUGUCAUGUUGAGGGCAUUUUGUGCAAAGUCUUUCAAAUCUUUCCCAAUAAUCAUAAAGGUCCUCAGAUGGUUUUUGCUUUAUGCUUGUGAUUUCCCUUAUUAUGCCAAUUGAUUUAUGGGUUGGGAAGUAUUUAUUCAAAAAGGCUUUGACCAUAUCAUCCCAAGAAGUAAUAGAUCCAUGUGGCAAGUAAAAUAACCAAUCUUUAGCAAAGUCUUCUAAUGAAAAGGGGAAGGCUCUUAACUUAAUUUGGUCUUCAAAGAUACCUUGAGGUUUCAUAGAUGAACAGAUCAUAUUGAAUGCUUUUAAGUGCUUGUGUGGAUUUUCAUUUUCUUUACCUCUAAACUUAGGGAGAAUGUGUAUCAAACCUGUCUUCAGUUCAAAGGGAACUGUCAGAGGUGGGUAGGUGAUGCAAAGUGGUGCAUAGUCACCUACAGGGGUUGCCAAUUCUCCCAUAGUUCUUUCUCUUUGUUCUUGAGGCCUAUUUGCUGGAUUUUCUUGGACUAUUUGGUUCUGGAUANNNNNNNN